ensembl:lncRNA
GUUCAGCUGGUUCUGGAAUCUUUUGCUGUUGUUUUGCUGUGUUAUUUAUAGCGGUCAGUAUGAUUUUUUGUUUAUAAAUGGUGACAAUUCUUAAUAUUCAGUUCCAGGUAGAGUUAGUCGUUUGUUACUCUGUUGUGUCACUCAGACAGGUGAUGAUGGAAAUUUUAAUUCAACCUGAAUCUUUACUGGCAUUUCUACUGCUAAAUAUUGGAGAAACUCCAUCAGUUCAUAAUUAGUGAAUCCACUUAGUGACUAAAAUAACUCCAUAUACAUUUAUAGUAUCACACAGCAUUCACACGCUGUAUUGAAUGAAUAUUGUACUGUCUGUGUUUGCAGAAAGCACCUUUAUAACUGUACCAGGAGAAAAGAGAGGCAACGCCACACUGCCUUGUGAAUUAAAGGAUAGAGACAUUGUUAAUAUUAUUUUAAACCGUCAAUCAAAAAACAUCCCUGUUUGUAAGACUGAAAACUGUAGUGGGCGAGCAUUUAAAAUAGGAGCCUGUGACGUCCUCAUCAAGAAUCUGAUCUUCAGAGAUGCUGGGAAGUACAUUAUGAGAGUCUUUUACAGCAAAGAUCAGAAAGAGCUGGAGCAACAAAUCACGUACCAACUUCAUAUUCAUGAUGAGAUUUCUAUGAAAAUCGGUGAGAAGCUAAAGAUGCAUGUUCUGUUGUCUAAUGCUGAUAAAGUGGAGACAAACUCUAGUGGAGAGUGGAAGGAGGUGUGGAGCAGAACUGAUGGGGUCCUGGAUCAUCAUCUGACCGACACUGAUGGAAACCUGACCAUUAAAGGGUUUACAGCCAAUGACACGGGAACAUACAGAGUUCUGGACUCUGAAGGAGAAAUCUUGAUCACAGUCACAGUCACAGAAUCUAGAACAGAAACAAAGGGAGAACUGGAUGAUGACAAAACGUAUGACCCAAAAUAUAGUAAGUAAACAGAAGUCAUUAAGAGCUUUAAAAAAAUCAUUAAACAGUGAAUUAAAUAAAUAUAUAUUUAUAUAUAUUGUGUUCUCUUCU